rnacentral:rRNA from 1 species
UACGGGGGGGGCAAGCGUUGUUCGGAAUUACUGGGCGUAAAGGGCUCGUAGGUGGCCAACUAGGUCAGACGUGAAAUCCCUCGGCUUAACCGGGGAACUGCGUCUGAUACUGGAUGGCUUGAGUUUGGGAGAGGGACGCGGAAUUCCAGGUGUAGCGGUGAAAUGCGUAGAUAUCUGGAGGAACACCGGUGGCGAAGGCGGCGUCCUGGACCAACACUGACACUGAGGAGCGAAAGCCAGGGGAGCAAACAGG